AUACGGAGGAUCCGAGCGUUAUCCGGAUUUAUUGGGCCUAAAGCGUCCGUAGCCGGUCUGAUAAGUCUCUGGUGAAAUCCCGCAGCUUAACUGUGGGAAUUGCUGGAGAUACUAUCAUGACUCGAGGUCGGGAGAGGCUGGAGGUACUCCCAGGGUAGGGGUGAAAUCCUGUAAUCCUGGGAGGACCACCUGUGGCGAAGGCGUCCAGCUGGAACGAACCUGACGGUGAGGGACGAAAGCCAGGGACGCGAACCGGAUUAGAUACCCGGGUAGUCCUGGCCGUAAACGAUGUGGACUUGGUGUUGGGAUGGCUUCGAGCUGCCCCAGUGCCGAAGGGAAGCUGUUAAGUCCACCGCCUGGGAAGUACGGCCGCAAGGCUGAAACUUAAAGGAAUUGGCGGGG
rnacentral:rRNA from 1 species